AAAAUGAUAAACACGUCAAUCGGAGUAAACAAGUAACUAAAUGAUGCAAACAAGAAAAUAUUACAAAAUAGGUACAUAUAUAUGUACCGAUAAUUAUUUUGUGUUAAAAAUAUGAGGCAAAUUAUACUGCCCGAUUAUACGGACUACAUAUUAAAAACGAUUAUCUUGGAAACAGUCAAUAGAUGUCGAACCACCAGCAAAGUUUUUGAAGAGGUGUAGUUCCUGGUACCAACUGGAAACUGAAACUAAUAAUCUACACUCAAGAAAAUGAAAUAUAGUCACAGAAAA